AGGAUGCUUGUGAUUGUCGCGUUGCUUGUGUUGAGUGUGGCUGACUCCCAAUACCAAUAUUAUAACAAUGACAUCCCUAGCUACAUAAAACGAGCGUUAAAUGAAAAGAAUCGAUAUAAAGUAGCGCCAAAAGCAACGAGGCACAUCACUAACCUGACUCUUCCGGAAGUUGUGGAGAAAAUUAAGAAGAUCACGCUGUCUUUAAAUCAACAUGCAAAGAAAAAUGGAUAUUUUGUCGAUUAUAACUUCCGUAUAAUUGAUAAAGACUAAAUA